rnacentral:rRNA from 1 species
CUCACUGGUCGAGUCGGCCUGCGCGGAAGAUGUAACGGGGCUAAACCAUGCACCGAAGCUGCGGCAGCGACACUGUGUGUUGUUGGGUAGGGGAGCGUUCUGUAAGCCUGUGAAGGUGUGUCGUGAGGCAUGCUGGAGGUAUCAGAAGUGCGAAUGCUGACAUAAGUAACGAUAAAGCGGGUGAAAAGCCCGCUCGCCGGAAGACCAAGGGUUCCUGUCCAACGUUAAUCGGGGCAGGGUGAGUCGACCCCUAAGGCGAGGCCGAAAGGCGUAGUCGAUGGGAAACGGGUUAAUAUUCCCGUACUUGGUGUUACUGCGAAGGGGGGACGGAGAAGGCUAUGUUGGCCGGGCGACGGUUGUCCCGGUUUAAGCGUGUAGGUGUGUGUUCCAGGUAAAUCCGGUUCACUUUAACACUGAGGCGUGACGACGAGGCACUACGGUGCUGAAGCAACAAAUGCCCUGCUUCCAGGAAAAGCCUCUAAGCAUCAGGUAACAUCAAAUCGUACCCCAAACCGACACAGGUGGUCAGGUAGAGAAUACCAAGGCGCUUGAGAGAACUCGGGUGAAGGAACUAGGCAAAAUGGUGCCGUAACUUCGGGAGAAGGCACGCUGACACGUAGGUGAAGUGAUUUACUCAUGGAGCUGAAGUCAGUCGAAGAUACCAGCUGGCUGCAACUGUUUAUUAAAAACACAGCACUGUGCAAACACGAAAGUGGACGUAUACGGUGUGACGCCUGCCCGGUGCCGGAAGGUUAAUUGAUGGGGUCAGCGCAAGCGAAGCUCCUGAUCGAAGCCCCGGUAAACGGCGGCCGUAACUAUAACGGUCCUAAGGUAGCGAAAUUCCUUGUCGGGUAAGUUCCGACCUGCACGAAUGGCGUAAUGAUGGCCAGGCUGUCUCCACCCGAGACUCAGUGAAAUUGAACUCGCUGUGAAGAUGCAGUGUACCCGCGGCAAGACGGAAAGACCCCGUGAACCUUUACUAUAGCUUGACACUGAACAUUGAGCCUUGAUGUGUAGGAUAGGUGGGAGGCUUUGAAGCGUGGACGCCAGUCUGCGUGGAGCCGACCUUGAAAUACCACCCUUUAAUGUUUGAUGUUCUAACGUGGACCCGUGAUCCGGGUUGCGGACAGUGUCUGGUGGGUAGUUUGACUGGGGCGGUCUCCUCCUAAAGAGUAACGGAGGAGCACGAAGGUUGGCUAAUCCUGGUCGGACAUCAGGAGGUUAGUGCAAUGGCAUAAGCCAGCUUGACUGCGAGCGUGACGGCGCGAGCAGGUGCGAAAGCAGGUCAUAGUGAUCCGGUGGUUCUGAAUGGAAGGGCCAUCGCUCAACGGAUAAAAGGUACUCCGGGGAUAACAGGCUGAUACCGCCCAAGAGUUCAUAUCGACGGCGGUGUUUGGCACCUCGAUGUCGGCUCAUCACAUCCUGGGGCUGAAGUAGGUCCCAAGGGUAUGGCUGUUCGCCAUUUAAAGUGGUACGCGAGCUGGGUUUAGAACGUCGUGAGACAGUUCGGUCCCUAUCUGCCGUGGGCGCUGGAGAACUGAGGGGGGCUGCUCCUAGUACGAGAGGACCGGAGUGGACGCAUCACUGGUGUUCGGGUUGUCAUGCC